AAAAAAAAUUACGUUAAAACCCUCUUUCUAUCUCUCUCUUCCUCUAGGUAUGUUGAACACACUCAAUUAAACAUGAAAGAGGUAAUCUCUUCCUGCAGACCAGAACCACAAACAAAAAGUUAAACAUGAAAGAGUAAUCAGAUUUCAAAAUUCAAAUGGAUUUCAAACACCCACCUCUAAAUUCCCCCUUCAUUCUCAAAUGACAAAAACCCUAAUCAGAUUUCAAAAUACACAUCCCUUUCUUUCAUGGUUCUCUUUCAUCGCCCUAUCUUUCCCUGCUCCAGUCUCAAAUCGCUACAUAUGCUGCUCAACCGUCGUCGUUUUACGCGCGAAUCUGGGCGCCGGAAAGUUCGGUACGCCGGAGCAGGAUUUCAAAGAGAUCCGUGAAACAUUCUAUCAAUACCGCGGGAAACAAGCCGGGUUUUAGAAGAAAUAGAGACCACAACUGAGCAAACGACAUCGUCUGGGACCAAUAAUUAUGCUGAAGUUGUAUGUUGAUGAAGAAGAUGAUGUGAAGAAAGACCCAAAUGUGUCGUACAGUAUUGGGCCCAAGAAAUGAGAUUGGGAUGAACAGAGAGGUGAAUGGUUGAAACAAAACCCUAAUUUUAAUAGUUAUGUUAAUGGGAAUAAGCCUAGGGUUUUGUUGGUUACUGGGUCUUCACCAAAGCCUUGUGAGAAUCCUGUUGGUGAUCAUUAUUUGUUGAAGAGUAUAAAGAAUAAGAUUGAUUAUUGUAGGAUACAUAUAAUAUGGCUUUGCUUGAUGCUGAUCAUUAUUUGUUGAGAAUCCUGUUGGUGAUUCUUUCUCCAAGCCAUUUGGUUCCUAAUCGUUCCAAUACAAGAUAAGAUUAUCCAGACUUCAUCUUAUUCAUUCUGUUCUUAAGAUUACUCAUAUAAAUUGUCUUUUAUUGUCAUAUUCUUAUGCUUUGAAUUUUUUUUUUUUCAUUCUUGGUUGUUGAACAAAAUGUUGGGGUUCUGUAUUCUUUUAUUUGAUAUUUGUUUUAUUAACAUUACAUAUUAGUCUGUAUUUAAUAUUUAUUUAAUGAAUGCAGAUUCCAUGUUGCCAUGUCUUUUAGCUGCUUGAUUUUGUGGUUGUUGAUAAAUAGAAUUUAGGAAUAAAAAAACUCCUUUGCAGUAUCCGUUGUGAAUUAGCUAAUAGGAACUAAUCAUUUUUUUUUUUUGGAAAUUUAAUGCAACCAAAAUGAACAAUAUAUUAUUUUACUAUAUAAUAUAUAAUAAUAAUACUAUUAAUAAUAAUAAGUGUCUUCAUUGUUAAUGGAUGGUGUAAUGUAAUACGUAUUCUUUAUCUCGGGAGUUCUUAUUAUUAUCUAGGUACAUGGUUACAAUAACUGGCAUAGGUAUCCGCUGGCCCAAUUCUCAAUGGGGAUCUGACCAAAAUGGGCUCGGGUCAAAACCUUUUAAAUAAGGACUGACUUUAGUCUUUGAACUCUACAAAUAACUAUCAACAUUAUAAAAUUAUUUCAUUAUUGAUUUAGAAGAUUCUUAUUUAAUGUUUCUAGGCUGAUGUGAAUAUUCUUGGAUCCAAGUUGGGGAGGACAAGAAUAUACUAAAGCAUGAAACUUUGACUUCGAUACUACACUCAAGCCACAUGAUGAGUUUGGUUUCUAAACCCAAAUAUGAUGCCACUUUUAUCUACUUAAUAUAAUCAUGGUUAGGAGUUUAUUUGUUUUCAAUGUGUGUUCAUUACAGGCAGUUUCAGGUGAAACAAUCUCAACAUGGAACAUAAUUCUUGAUUCACCUAUGUUCGGACAGAAAAAUCUGGACUGUCAAAAAAAAUAUGUGAAUUUUCAUAUAGAUUAUACUUUGUAUGUACUCUUGUGGUGUCUCGCUAAUACAUUUUUUAUGUAUUGCUAAUACUCUUGUGGAACUUGGGUACAGGUCCUAUCACUAGCCGACUAGGCCCAAGUAAUAUCUCGAAAUGAUAUGUGACAACCAUUCAAGAAAAAUUCAUUUUUGGUUUACUUGAUGCAUCCAUGGUUAAAAUUUAAGGAAGUCGCUCGUGUGUCCAAUGCGUAUGAUACUUAGGUCAGACCCUUUUUUUCAUUGGAAUUAUGAUCAUUUUAAGCUAGACCUAUUGAAUUGCUUUUGGUCAUGUAAUUGUUUCAAUGGGGCCUACUUAUGUGGAGUAUGUUGGGUGCUAGGAUUUGUAACGGGUAUGUGACUGCUAUACCUGCCAGACCAAUAUUUAUAGCGCUAUACUUGUCUUGAGGUGUUAUGAUUUAUAAUGAGAAUUUUACUGCAGCCUGAAAGUAGUUGGAAGACGUUGUGCCAUUCCACCUCUUUUAAGGCUCCAUGUCUUGGUUAUGGAGUUCAUAGUGGCUUAAGUGAAACCUCGAGGGAUAAUACUUUUGUUUCAAGAAAGUGACAUAAGUGAAACUUGAAGGGUUAUGUACUAUUGUUUCAGGAUCCAAACAGUUGGUGCGCACGUUGCUUAAAAGAGAAUUCGUUCUGGUGGAUCACACCCAGAUCCAAAUUAAGGAGUAUCUCAUGGCAGAAAUGGAAUGCUGGUGUGGAAGAUAUAUUUUAGGUCAUGUAGUUUUUGUUCUUGUAGGGGUGGUUCUGUUGUUUCUUUUUGUGUUUUCCUUGUAUUAUAUUGGUGGCUUUUAGAAACUUUUCAAGACCUGUUGGUUUUUUAUGUUAUGACCUCAAUUAACUUUAAAAUAAAAUUGAACU